AUUGAACGCUGGCGGCAGGCCUAACACAUGCAAGUCGAGCGGAUGAAGGGAGCUUGCUCCUGGAUUCAGCGGCGGACGGGUGAGUAAUGCCUAGGAAUCUGCCUGGUAGUGGGGGAUAACGUCCGGAAACGGGCGCUAAUACCGCAUACGUCCUGAGUGAGAAAGUGGGGGAUCUUCGGACCUCACGCUAUCAGAUGAGCCUAGGUCGGAUUAGCUAGUUGGUGGGGUAAAGGCCUACCAAGGCGACGAUCCGUAACUGGUCUGAGAGGAUGAUCAGUCACACUGGAACUGAGACACGGUCCAGACUCCUGCGGGAGGCAGCAGUGGGGAAUAUUGGACAAUGGGCGAAAGCCUGAUCCAGCCAUGCCGCGUGUGUGAAGAAGGUCUUCGGAUUGUAAAGCACUUUAAGUUGGGAGGAAGGGCAGUAAGUUAAUACCUUGCUGUUUUGACGUUACCAACAGAAUAAGCACCGGCUAACUUCGUG
rnacentral:rRNA from 1 species